rnacentral:rRNA from 1 species
GACGAACGCUGGCGGCGUGCUUAACACAUGCAAGUCGAACGGAAAGGCCCUGCUUUUGUGGGGUGCUCGAGUGGCGAACGGGUGAGUAACACGUGAGUAACCUGCCCUUGACUUUGGGAUAACUUCAGGAAACUGGGGCUAAUACCGGAUAGGAGCUCCUGCUGCAUGGUGGGGGUUGGAAAGUUUCGGCGGCUGGGGAUGGACUCGCGGCUUAUCAGCUUGUUGGUGGGGUAGUGGCUUACCAAGGCUUUGACGGGUAGCCGGCCUGAGAGGGUGACCGGCCACAGUGGGACUGAGGUACGGCCCAGACUGCUACGGGGGGCAGCGGUGGGGGAUAUUGCACAAUGGGCGGAAGCCUGGUGCAGGAACGCCGCGUGCGGGAUGGCGGCCUUCGGGUUGUAAACCGCGUUCGCCUGUGACGAAGCGUGGGUGACGGUAAUGGGUAAAGAAGCACCGGCUAACUACGUG